GGACGUCGACCGGCGCACGGGUGAGUAACGCGUAUCCAACCUGCCCUUGUCCAUCGGAUAACCCGUCGAAAGGCGGACUAACACGAUAUGCAGUUCUCAGCAGGCAUCUAACGAGAACGAAAUGUGAAGGAGAAGGAUGGGGAUGCGUCUGAUUAGCUUGUUGGCGGGGUGACGGCCCACCAAGGCGACGAUCAGUAGGGGUUCUGAGAGGAAGGUCCCCCACAUUGGAACUGAGACACGGUCCAAACUCC
rnacentral:rRNA from 1 species